rnacentral:rRNA from 1 species
UACGAAGGGGGCUAGCGUUGUUCGGAAUCACUGGGCGUAAAGCGCACGUAGGCGGACUUUCAAGUCAGGGGUGAAAUCCCGGGGCUCAACCUCGGAAUUGCCUUUGAUACUGUAGGUCUCGAGUCCGGAAGAGGUGGGUGGAAUUCCUAGUGUAGAGGUGAAAUUCGUAGAUAUUAGGAAGAACACCGGUGGCGAAGGCGGCCCACUGGUCCGGUACUGACGCUGAGGUUGCGAAAGCGUGGGGAGCAAACAGGA